rnacentral:lncRNA from 1 species
AUGUACUAGUGCUUUUAAAAUUAAUUAUAAAGUAAAGAUGAAUGUUCCUUAAUUUUCAAGUUUAUAUUUGAAUGAUAAAUUACUGUAUUUUGAUGUGUAAUGGGCAUUCCCUAUAAAUAUCUUUCAACUGUGACAGUGUUUUUUGAUGUUGUCCUGUUACACCAAGAUCCGCAAAGAACUUGUUAAUAGCGGUAGCCAGACGUUCAUUGCUUGUUACCCAUUUGAUAAUAAAAAUUUUAUUUUUCAGUGACACAGGCAUAUAAAAUGUCAACUGAUUAUAUAGUAUAUUUUGUAGAAAUCAAUAUAAUACCCUUACUCUCUUUCCUUUGUUCUCCCAUUUUAUACUUGCAAAAGAACCAUUUUUAUCUGUAAACUUGGGUAUUUACUUGCUUAAUUUAAGAUACUAUGCUUAUACUCUUUCAGUGGGUUUUUUUUUAAUGGACACAAUACCUUUAUUUAAAAAAAUUUUUUUUUAGUUGUUGAUAGGUCUUUAUUUUAUUUAUUUAUUUAUAUGUGGUGCUGAGGAUUGAACCCAGUGCCUCACACAUGCCAAGUAAGAGCUCUGCCUCUGAGCCACAGCCCUAGC